CCAAAGCUACAGAGAAACCCUGUCUCAAAAAACAAACAAACAAAAAAAAAAAGAGUUGCCUUAGUCAGAGUACCUCUUCACAGCAAUAGAAUGGUGAAUAAAACACGGGUUCUUUGCAAAGGCUUUUCCCCUAGUCUAAACUUCCUUUUUUUGUUGCAAUUUGCAGAGCAGAAGGCUUUCGUUUUAGUUAAGCCUUGUUUAUCAGUGAUCUCUUCAUGGAUCAGGCCGUGGGUGGUGUAGGUAAUGAAAACCAUCACUGUCAAACCCAUAUAUCAUCUAGAUUGGUCAUGUUAUCAACCAAGAGUCUUCCAGUCCUGCAUUUUGCAUUUCAACCGAUAAUUACCUUGCACUGACUCUUAGAAAAUUAUUUCUAUAUUUGUGUUUGUUUUGUAUGGGUUAAGUCCAGUUUCUUAUUAUCAUUUAUUGAACUUCAUUUAAAAAAUAUAGGCUCGGCCAGGCGUUGGUGGCGCACGCCUUUAAUCCCAGCACUCGGGAGGCAGAGGCAGGCAGAUCUCUGUGAGUUCGAGGCCGGGCUGGACCGAUAGCCUCCGAAACAAUACAGAGAAACCCUGUCUCGAAAAAACAAAAAAAUAUAUAUAUAGGCUCUCAAUUCAGCACAGGCUGGCCCUCAAACUUGUUAUGUAGCUGAGGAUAACCUUGCGUUUUUGAGCCACUUCCCAAGUGCUGGGGUGCAGAUGUGCCACUUGCUUUAUGUGACUUUAUUCUUUUUCUAUUGUGUUGGCAACUAUAACUAGAUGUUAUUCAUCUCUCUGUGCAAACUUAUGAUCAGCUUUUAUGAAGAAUGGAAAUCUUGAUAGUGUUGAGUCCUUUCUUUUCAGGGACAAAGAAUAUUUUUCCAUUUCUUUAAUUCUAGAUCAUUGCUUGUUUGUUUAUUUCCCCUUCCCAAAUCUGGGGAAGGAACCCAGGGCUUUCACUUCUUAGGGAAGUGUUCACAACUGAGCCUCACCCCAUCCUUUUUUUCCUUUCUUUUUAAAUCCCUUCCCUUUGUGUAGUUCUCAUAUAGAUUAUUUUUCUAUUGUUGUUGUUUGUUUAUUGAGACAGGACCUCAUCUAUGUAUCCCUGCCUGGCCUUGAAACUUGAAACUCCUCAUGUAGACCAGGGUGGCCUCAAACUCAGAGAUCUGCCCACCCCUGCCUCUCAACUGCUAGGAUCGAUGGCCUGCGUCACAAACCCAAGCCUCACACAGAUCCUAUGCAUAUAGCAGUCAAUAUAGAAGUAUUCACCACUGAGCAUGCUGGUAUAAAUGAUAAUGUGUUUCUAUUUCCAAAAUCCAAUUACUCAACAUAACCAUACAGAAGCAAUUACUCUUGUGAUAUUGACCUUGUAUCCUGCAUCUUUGCUAUAAUCAUCUAUUAAUUCCAGGGUUUUGUUGGUUUGUUUUGGUAUUUUCUAUAUAAACAGUCAUAUAAACUGGGAAGAGAUCUUCUCAAUCUUUAUUUUUAUUCCCUUUUCUUUCUUUCUACACUAGCUAAGACUUCCAGCACAAUGCUUAAAUGGAUGGUCUUGUUCCUAUAAUUAUCAUUAAUGACUCUAUCUAGUAGUUUUUACUAGAUUCCAUUUGUUAGAUAAUCAGCAGUGAUACUUUGCCCUGAAGUUUUAUAGUAAAACAUUUAUAGUAUGCAGGCUACCCUCAAUAUUAUACCAUUCCACAUCUAGUGUAACAACCUUUUUAAAACAGGGUUUGUACAUUUUGACAUUUCUAGUCUUUCUCUAAUUGCCAUAACUUUACUUGUUUGUGGCAUAAACUCAUACAAUUGUUACAGUUUUUACUUCCCUCCAUAAGCUAGUUUAAAUAUUUCAAUGAUGAAAAAGAAGUUAAUAUUUACUAUAUGUUGACAAUGCCAGUGGUCUUUAUUCUUUUGUAUAGAUCUAGAGUUUCCAUUAUUCUCUCUUGAUCGUAGACAUUCUUCUAAGAUUUUUUAGGUUUUUUUUUCCUUUUGUGCCGAUCGAACUCAGGCUUGGACUUAUUAGACACAUGCUCAACCAACAGGCCAGCUUCUAGCACUGCUUUAACAUGGCUUGACAUGUAGUUACCCGUCAAUUCCUUCCAUUAACAAAUAAUUGGGAAAUGUUUUUAGUGCUGUGUGUGUGUACAUGAGCACAGGUGUCUGCAGAGGCUAAAGGAGCUGGAGUUAUAGGUGAUUGUGAGCAGCUCAACAUUGAUUCCAGAAAUCAAACUCCGCUUCUCUAGGAGUGGUUCUUUUCUCCUCUUCCUAUCCAAGGAUCUUGUAAGCAAGGAGGCAGUUGAUCUCCCAGCAGCAGGAAACCUCUUCAGAUGUGCAAAUCAUCCCAUCUGGGGAGUUCUUUCUAUAGCUACAUAAAGCAGAUUAGACAGUUUUAGUGUUUGGGCUUUUUGUUUGUUUCCUUGAUCGACUGUUUGUUUUGGCAUUGGGGAGGUAGGUUUGGGUGGUAUGGUAAGACCAGGCCUUUGUAGCUCAAGCUGGAAUGGAACUUGCUAUGUAUGAUAGUUUGUAUCUCGACAAAAUCUAGAAUUGCCUGAGAGACAGGCCUCUGGGCAUGCCUAUCUAUCGGGGAUUUUUCUGUUAUGUUAAUUGGGUUGAGAAAACACCCCCCCUGUGGGAGGCACCAUUCCCUGGCUUGAAUCCUGAACUGUGUAAGCAGAGAAAGGGCACUGAACAGUAGCAGCACGUGUUCACUGCUCGCUGACUCCGAUAGCAGCUCUCUUGCUGCCUUGGCUUCCCUGCCAAGAUGAACUGUACCCUCUGAGCCAGAAUAAAGCCUUUCUUCCUUAA